GGAUAGCUCAGACGGUUAGAGCAUCGAAUUUUUAAUUCGAGAGUCGCGGGUUCGAUUCCCGCUCCA
rnacentral:tRNA from 1 species